AAAAUAUUAUUCUACAAGGCAAAGUUGAAGAAAUCAUACUUUGGGGAUCGUUACAAUUUUUCUUACAAUCAUAAUAUUCUGUGCCGCUCUUGGUUUAUUUGUACUUGUAAUUGCUUAAAAUAAUCCGCCAAUCUUAUUUGGACAAAAAUAUAAACGGUAUGUCUGUUAAA